CGGCACGGGUGAGUAACACGUAUCCAACCUGCCGUCUACUCUUGGACAGCCUUCUGAAAGGAAGAUUAAUACAAGAUGGCAUCAUGAGUCCGCAUGUUCACAUGAUUAAAGGUAUUCCGGUAGACGAUGGGGAUGCGUUCCAUUAGUUUGUUGGCGGGGUAACGGCCCACCAAGACUACGAUGGAUAGGGGUUCUGAGAGGAAGGUCCCCCACAUUGGAACUGAGACACGGUCCAA
rnacentral:rRNA from 1 species